GGUAAUCGCAGGACUGGACAAGUCCCUGAGCAAGCUGAUAUGCUUAGACCUCCUUUGAGCAAUGGUUUGGACUAGAGAACCUCUGGAGGUCCCUUCCAACUCAAAUUAUUCUAUGAUUGAUGCUGUGACAGAAACUGCAUUAUAAAAGGACAUCAACAGUCUAAUAAAUAACCAUUGUUAUAAUAAUAACCAUUCAACACCUGUAAUGAUGAUAGGGGCAGUACUAGUGUUGAGCAUGGAGGCAUCUCUAUUAAAUGCUGUGAAAAUGAAAAAUGGUGACUUAGGCACAGUGGAUUGCAUGAGUAUUUGAGGUAUUGUGGAAAGGAAACUUCUUGGCUAGACGUACCACGCUCCAAAUUUUAUCUUGCGCAGACACCAAUAAAUACCUCCAAAUAACGAUAUCAGUGGUCUGAAAUAUGUCAGCUGUCGAGGAAGGUAGCUUCUGCUCCCAAGAGAUUAAAAGGAUUUGUGCUGAACUGGAAUCCUGUUCUGGAUCCAAGCCACAUCUCUGGGCAGAAGCUCCUGAAAGAGAGACCCUGAUGAAAUAUCACAUGCUCCAUGGCGCACAGUGAUCCUCCGAGACCUUCGCUUUCCUUUCCAUGCACGCCGGCGUUCAGUUUUCCGUUGCUGGUCGUCCUACGCAGAUCACGGGACUAGUGCUCCCUGCUGCUAGACUAUGCAACGACUUCGACUUCAAGGAGGCUCAUAGACGGCAGUGCCAACUUCCACUCAUUCUGUCACCUCAAACAAUUUCAUCUCUGGAAACAGCAGGAAGAGGUUUUCCAUUUGGGUCAGAGUGGCAGGUUUGUUUUUUGGUUCAGUGUUUGUUUUUUGCCUUCACCAGUAGUGUGAGUCACAGCUGAUUUCCUAGGCUCACCUUAG
rnacentral:lncRNA from 1 species